rnacentral:rRNA from 1 species
UAAUACGUAGGGUGCGAGCGUUAAUCGGAAUUACUGGGCGUAAAGCGUGCGCAGGCGGCUUGCUAAGACAGGUGUGAAAGCCCCGAGCUUAACUUGGGAAUGGCGCUUGUGACUGGCAGGCUGGAGUGUGGCAGAGGGAGGUGGAAUUCCACGUGUAGCAGUGAAAUGCGUAGAGAUGUGGAGGAACACCGAUGGCGAAGGCAGCCUCCUGGGCCAACACUGACGCUCAUGCACGAAAGCGUGGGGAGCAAACAGGAUUAGAUACCCUGGUAGUCCACGCCCUAAACGAUGUCAACUGGUUGUUGGUGGGGUUAAACCCAUUAGUAACGAAGCUAACGCGUGAAGUUGACCGCCUGGGGAGUACGGCCGCAAGGUUA